rnacentral:tRNA from 1 species
GCCUAAAUACCCCAGUUGCGAGAGCGUUAGACUAUAAAUUGAAAGGUCCCUGGUUCGAUCCCGGCUUUCGAGU